CUACAAGAUUGAGGUGAAGAUUCU
rnacentral:piRNA from 1 species